rnacentral:misc_RNA from 1 species
GACGUAGGGGGCAAGCGUUGUCCGGAUUUAUUGGGCGUAAAGAGCUCGUAGGCGGCUCAGUAAGUCGGGUGUGAAAACUCCAGGCUCAACCUGGAGACGCCACUCGAUACUGCUGUGGCUAGAGUCCGGUAGGGGCGCGUGGAAUUCCCGGUGUAGCGGUGAAAUGCAUAGAUAUCGGGAGGAACACCAGUGGCGAAGGCGGCGCGCUGGGCCGGAACUGACGCUGAGGAGCGAAAGCGUGGGGAGCAAACAGG